GAUGAACGCUGGCGGCGUGCCUAAUACAUGCAAGUCGAGCGAACAGAUGAGGAGCUUGCUCCUUUGACGUUAGCGGCGGACGGGUGAGUAACACGUGGAUCCCCUACCUAUCAGACUGGGAUCAUCACGGGACACCGGCGCUUAUACCGGAUAAUAUCUUGAACCGCAUGGUUCAAUAGUGAAUGACGGUUUUGCUGUCUCUUCUAGAUGGUUCCGCGCUGCAUUAGCUAGUUGGUAAGGUAACGGCUUACCAAGGCAACGAUGCGUAGCCGACCUGAGAGAGGGAUCGGCCACACGGGAACUGGGACACGGUCCAGACUCCUACGGGAGGCAGCAGUAGGGAAUCUGCCGCAAUGGGCGAAAGCCUGACGGAGCAACGCCGCGUGAGUGAUGAAGGUCUUCGGAUCGUAAAACUCUGUUAUGAGGGAAGAACAAAUGUGUAAGUAACUAUGCACGUCGUGACGGUACCUAAUCAGAAAGCCACGGCUAACUACGUG
rnacentral:rRNA from 1 species